rnacentral:sRNA from 1 species
UCGUCUCAAUGAGUGCUUACAGAGGCGGCGUUAACUCAUUC